AAAAGGAAGCGAUUCCGGCGGAGGAUGGGCAUGCGGCGCAUUAGCUAGUUGGCGGGGUAACGGCCCACCAAGGCGACGAUGCGUAGGGGUUCUGAGAGGAAGGUCCCCCACACUGGUACUGAGACACGGACCAGACUCCUACGGGAGGCAGCAGUGAGGAAUAUUGGUCAAUGGGCGGGAGCCUGAACCAGCCAAGUCGCGUGAGGGAAGACGGUCCUAUGGAUUGUAAACCUCUUUAGGCGGGGAGCAAUGCCGGGCACGCGUGCCCGGAGGGAGAGUACCCGCAGAAUAAGCAUCGGCUAACUCCGUGCCAGCAGCCGCGGUAAUACGGAGGAUGCGAGCGUUAUCCGGAUUUAUUGGGUUUAAAGGGUGCGUAGGCGGAUUUUUAAGUCAGCGGUAAAAUGUCCGGGCUCAACCCGGGCCGGCCGUUGAAACUGGGGAUCUUGAGUGGGCGAGAAGUAUGCGGAAUGCGUGGUGUAGCGGUGAAAUGCAUAGAUAUCACGCAGAACUCCGAUUGCGAAGGCAGCAUACCGGCGCCCGACUGACGCUGAGGCACGAAAGCGUGGGGAUCGAACAGGAUUAGAUACCCUGGUAGUCCACGCAGUAAACGAUGAAUGCUAGUUGUCCGG
rnacentral:rRNA from 1 species